GCCUGUAUGGAUCAGUUGGUAGAUUGCCUUCCAUUGUUAUUCUGUGAAAAAUGGUGUCUGAAGGAGAUGGAGGUUCGAACCCUCCUGUGGGCA